rnacentral:lncRNA from 1 species
AUGAGCUUGGAGGAACACUCUUCCCCAAGCCUGCAGAUGGAAGCACAGCCAGCCCAAUAUCUCGAUUUUGGCCUUGAGACUCUGAGCAGAGAACCUAAUCAACCCCGCCCAGGCUUCCCACCUACCGAAAUGGAGAUAAUAACAACUGUUGUUUUAAGUCACCAAAUUUGUGGUAAUCUUUUAUGCAGCAAUAGAAAACUAAUAUACAUAGCAUCUUUAAAAGCCUAUGAAAACCAUGGAGAGUAUAUUGCAAGGAAGAUAGACUCGGGAGAUGACACCAGCCUCAGGAGUCAUUGCUGUUUUCUGUACAAGAAAUAAUGUGAGAUUUAAUCUCCCUCUUUUUAAACCUUCCUGAAUUUUUCUUCACCUUUACUAAGUAAAUAGCUAUCAUGCAGUAUCACCUCCCUCCCUUCUGUGAGUCACUUAAUGAAGACUUGCCUGUACACCUCAUUGGCAAUUUGUUUUUCAGUGACAAGGUGACAGUUUUGGUUCAUUUAACAAACAACCAAUUUCGAACCAUUGAGAAACCAUCUGGGAAUGCUGUUCUCUUGAGAUAAGAAUGUUGUUUUCUAAUUGGUCUCUUUUAUAGAAACUGUGUUUCUUCUUUCUACACAAUGCUUACGACUGUUUUGUGGCAAGAGGAAUUCUGAACGUUGAUGUCGGUGACGCUCACUUUAAAUGCCUGUGGCAUUAGUGCAAUCUAAUGGAAAGCUACUGUCUGGCAUUCCCAAUGGCCACUGAAUUCAUUAGCUUUUAAGACAAUCCACAGGGAAACACUUAAACAUGUAUAAAAGCCACUAUGCAAAAUAAAGAUUUGAUUAUUAAAACCUCUAAGACAUGAAGUACUAUUCUAUAUGUUGGUUUUGUUUAGAUAUGAUGCUUAUUGAACAUAAUUUCAGGACUAUUUUAGGCUCAAUAUUUGCAUUUCAGUUUCACAUAAAAAUGUUACAUAAUGCAUUAAUGCAUUUUAUAAUGUGUUAAAGAGAUUGAUACCAAUUCAUGCCUACCGGUUAAAGAGUGGGGUUUAUACUUUCUUGAUCCAGUUUUAUCUUGUUUUUUUGAGACAGUCUUGCUCUGUUGCUCAGGCUAGAGUGCACUGGUGCGAUCUCAGCUCACUGCAACAACUGCCUCCCAGGUUCAAGCGAUUCUCCUGCCUCAGCCUCCUGAGUAGCUGGGAUUACAGGAUCCCACCACCACACGUGGCUAAUUUUUUUUUUUUUUUUUUUGUAUUUUUAGUAGAGACGGGGUUUUGCCAUGUUGGCAAUUUUGGUAGCUCCUGACCGCAGGUGAUUCACCUGCCUCAGCCUCCCUAAGUGCUGGGAUUACAAGUGUGAGCCACUGUGCCUGGCCUCAGUUAUUUGUUUAUUCACAUUGUUUUUAAGAGACAAGAGUCUUGCUCAGUCACCUGGCCUGGAGUGCAGUGGUGUGACCAUAGCUCAUUGCAACUUCGAACUCCUUGGCUCAAAUGAUCCUUCACUUCAGCCUCUCUAGUAUUUGGUACUACAGGUAUAUUCCACAGCACCCAGCUAAAUUUUUUUUAUUUUUUGUAGAGACAGGGCAGUCUCACUUUGUUGCCCGGGCUGGUCUCGAACUCCUAGCUUCAGGUGAUCCUCCUGUCUUGGCUUCCCAAAGUGCUAGGAUUACAGGCAUGACCCACUGCACUUGGCUCAUUUUUUUUAAGUGCUAAAUACCCACCAUCCGCACGGAAUUAAGUCAGGGAAAUGAGAGGUGAAUAUAAAGACAAUAAUUUAAUUCAAAAACGUUGCAAAAGAACACUGAAAUCAGAUCUCCCUUAUGUUACCAACACUGCUCUCCAAUUUAAGCCCUGAAGUUACUUCAGCUUUCUUAGCCUCAUAAGUGGAUGAAGAGGUGGAAGUGAAGUAAGAGUUAGGGAAUAGAAAUCACAAACAUGAACCCUGUGUGCCUCACAGCUUUACCUCUGAACCCAGUAGAGACCACAUAAAGCAAAGAUGGUUACAAUUUCCCUUGGAAACUUGCCUGAAACCUUCAUUGUCUUGAUUGAUCAGACUCCUCUCUGGAUUCUCCUUCCUCACCUGUGAGGCGAAUCUUGGCUCCCAGUGGACUGCAGAACCAGGAGCCUCUAAGACAGAGGAUCCUCUCACCCCUAGUUCUCAUUCUCUCUCUCGCUCUCUCAUACACACACAAACACAAACACACACACACACACACACUCUGGAGUCACUGGCUUAGAAGUUCUCUUACUGGGAUACUCAACCUUAACCACUGAUCUUCAAGUCUGACCAUUCGAUCAUACUUGCCUAUUAACAAACCAAGCUCUACGUUGAACUGAUACCAAGGAGUUUUGGUAACAAUCCAAAUUAUUUCUCAUGUAUCCAAAGCAAUAGAUAUACACAAACACAAUAUACAUAUAUGUGUGUAUAUGUAAAUUAAGCCUAUAUAUGCAAAUUGAGUCCUAAGAACCUGGCUAUAGAAAUAUGCAAAUUAAAUUUUAGUUUAAGCAAAUUAAGCAAUAAACAUCUUUAGAAAUGAA